GGUAUAUAAGGAGGAAGCUUGGAAUACAAGUCUCAAAAGCAUUCAUCCCGCUUGGCUGCUCGGGUUUCGGAUGUUGGCUUUCAUCACGCUCUUAACGUUGCUCGUGCUCAAUGUCGCCAUCGACGGAUUCAGCAUUUUCUUCUUUUAUACUCAGUGGACAUUUACUUUGGUCACGACAUACUUUAUGCUUGGAUGUGUAAUCUCCAUAUACGGAUGUCAAAAACACUGGGCACAAGCUCGUUGUGAUACCGUCGAUCGUGUAAGUUCAGAUACCGA